CGGCUUUUCUCGCGUUCUGAGA
rnacentral:miRNA from 2 species